CCUACGGGCGGCAGCAGUGAGGAAUAUUGGUCAAUGGACGAGAGUCUGAACCAGCCAAGUAGCGUGAAGGAUGACUGCCCUAUGGGUUGUAAACUUCUUUUAUAAAGGAAUAAAACGAGGCACGUGUGCCUUUUUGCAUGUCCUUUAUGAAUAAGGCUCGGCUAACUCCGUGCCAGCAGCCGCGGUAAUACGGAGGAUCCGAGCGUUAUCCGGAUUUAUUGGGUUUAAAGGGAGCGUAGAUGGGAUGUUAAGUCAGUUGUGAAAGUUUGCGGCUCAACCGGAAAAUUGCAAUUGAUACUGGCAGUCUUGAGUACAGGUGAGGUAGGCGGAAUUCGUGGUGUAGCGGUGAAAUGCUUAGAUAUCACGAAGAACCCCGAUUGCGAAGGCAGCUUACUAAACAGUGACUGACAUUGAUGCGCGAAAGUGUGGGUAGCAAACAGGAUUAGAUACCCCUGUAGUC
rnacentral:rRNA from 1 species